AGUCUACUGUUAAAUCUUGAGGCUCAACCUCAAAUCUGCAGUAGAAACUAGGAGACUUGAGUAUAGUAGGGGUAGAGGGAAUUUCCAGUGGAGCGGUGAAAUGCGUAGAUAUUGGAAAGAACACCGAUGGCGAAGGCACUCUACUGGGCUAUUACUGACACUCAGAGACGAAAGCUAGGGGAGCAAAUGGGAUUAGAUACCCCAGUAGUCCUAGCCGUAAACGAUGGAUACUCGAUGUUGGACGUAUCGACCCGUUCAGUAUCUUAGCUAACGCGUUAAGUAUCCCGCCUGGGGAGUACGCUCGCAAGAGUGAAACUCAAAGGAAUUGACGGGGGCCCGCACAAGCGGUGGAGGAUGUGGUUUAAUUCGAUGCAACGCGAAGAACCUUACCAGGGUUUGCUAGAAGUGUUGGUUUUCUGAAAAGAAUUCCUUAUUCCGCUUCUACAGGUGGUGCAUGGCUGUCGUCAGCUUGUGUCGUGAGAUGUUGGGUUAAGUCCCGCAACGAGCGCAACCCUUAUUUUUAGUUCUAUUGUCUAGAAAGACUGCCGGUGACAAACCGGAGGAAGGUGAGGACGACGUCAAGUCAUCAUGCCCCUUACACCCUGGGCUACACACGUCCUACAAUGGGUAAGACAAUAAGUUGCAAAUUCGCGAGAAUAAGCUAAUCUUUGAAACUUACUCCAAGUACAGAUUGCAGGCUGCAACUCGCCUGCAUG
rnacentral:rRNA from 1 species